UUACGACAUAAAGAUUAAAUACUUAUUGUGGAUCGACACUAAACUAUAUGAAAGACAGAAAGAAGAUCCAACAGCCUCGAGAUUUAGGUCUUGUCUUUUAACUUUAUCAUUAUCAUUUAUUCUAUCAAAGGAAUUAAAAAUGGCCUCGAUUCGAAUAUUACAUAUUUCGGAAAUUCAUUUUCGGAAAUUUUGCAAAGAUGACAAAGAUUAUCGCAUGUAUAAGCAAUGAAACGAUGCACAAAAUGUGUGUACUGUCAGUCACAUCUGUUGAAAAUACAUAUUCCUCUGAUAUGUGAUACGAAGAAUUCAACAUUUUUUGUAAAUAAAUCUGCAGAUGAAUUAUAGAAAGCUAUGACGACUGUCAGUAAUGCAGGAAGACGUAGAGGUAGAAUGAAAGGAUUAGCAAGAAAAAGGGAUUUUAAUAGAGGUCCAAUUAUUGAUGUAAAAAAAUUCUAAUACAAUUUCCUGUAUUCAAAGGAAAGAUGCUUGUUCAACAAUAGAGGUUACCUUUAGAUUCUAAAAGAGAGAAGUUUGCAAAACUAUAUAGCAAAAA